rnacentral:rRNA from 1 species
UUGACCUCGGAUCAGGUAGGGAUACCCGCUGAACUUAAGCAUAUCAAUAAGCGGAGGAAAAGAAACCAACAGGGAUUGCCUCAGUAACGGCGAGUGAAGCGGCAACAGCUCAAAUUUGAAAUCUGGCUCCUUCGGGGUCCGAAUUGUAAUUUGUAGAGAGUGCUUCGGGCGAGACCUCGGUCUAAGUCCAUUGGAACAUGGUGUCAUAGAGGGUGAGAAUCCCGUAUGCGACCGUGGCUCGAGCCCAUGUGAAGCCUCUUCGACGAGUCGAGUUGUUUGGGAAUGCAGCUCAAAAUGGGUGGUAAAUUUCAUCUAAAGCUAAAUACUGGCUGGAGACCGAUAGCGCACAAGUAGAGUGAUCGAAAGAUGAAAAGCACUUUGGAAAGAGAGUCAAAUAGUACGUGAAAUUGUUGAAAGGGAAGCGCUUGCAACCAGACCUGCCCGUAGGCGAUCCGCCGCUGUUCUCAGCGGUGUACUCGCUCUGCGAUCAGGCCAGCAUCGGUUUCGGCGGUCGGAUAAAGGCCUUGGGAAUGUAGCUUCCCUUCGGGGGAGUCUUAUAGCCCUCGGUGUAAUGCGGCCAGCUGGGACCGAGGACCGCGCUUCGGCUAGGAUGCUGGCGUAAUGGUUGUAAGCGACCCGUCUUGAAACACGGACCAAGGAGUCUAACAUCUAUGCGAGUGUUUGGGUGUCAAACCCAUACGCGGAAUGAAAGUGAACGGAGGUGAGAACCCUUAAGGGCGCAUCAUCGACCGAUCCAGAUGUCUUCGGAUGGAUUUGAGUAUGAGCAUAGCUGUUGGGACCCGAAAGAUGGUGAACUAUGCCUGAAUAGGGUGAAGCCAGAGGAAACUCUGGUGGAGGCUCGCAGCGGUUCUGACGUGCAAAUC